GGGGAUGACAGGCUUCGACGGGAGAGGCUGGUCCCGGAAUGCGAGCCGAGAGGCGCCGAACUCGUAAACUCAGCGCAAACAAUCAAGUGCCAACCGCACUUCCUACGCUGCCAUGCCCCUCGCCGCCUAGUGUGACGAGAUCAUGACAGUCGGUCUCCAUAGAUGAGGCCGCGUCCGCCGGCACCGCUCUCCGCCGGGUGACGGACCGGGCGAGACAAAGGUGGAGUGCCGCGCAUGACGCCGCUACAUGCGCGAAAGACCAGCGGCUGGUCGCAGGGAGUUCCUGUCGGACGAGACCCCUGCGAUGACGAACCUCGACCGACUACGCUCGUAGAUUUCCGAGGGUCGAAUCUUUCGGACCCGGGUUCAAUUCCCGGCAUCUCCACUA
rnacentral:tmRNA from 2 species